UAGCUCAGCUGGUAGAGUGCUUGCCUCGCAUGCACAAGGUCCUGGGUUCAAUUCCCAG
rnacentral:tRNA from 1 species